rnacentral:rRNA from 1 species
CUGAAGAGUUUGAUCAUGGCUCAGAUUGAACGCUGGCGGCAGGCUUAACACAUGCAAGUCGAGCGGUAACAGAUCUAGCUUGCUAGAUGCUGACGAGCGGCGGACGGGUGAGUAAUGCAUAGGAAACUGCCCAGUAGUGGGGGAUAGCCCGGGGAAACCCGGAUUAAUACCGCGUACGCCCUUCGGGGGAAAGCAGGGGAUCUUCGGACCUUGCGCUAUUGGAUGUGCCUAUGUCGGAUUAGCUAGUUGGUGGGGUAAAGGCCUACCAAGGCGACGAUCCGUAGCUGGUCUGAGAGGAUGAUCAGCCACAUCGGGACUGAGACACGGCCCGAACUCCUACGGGAGGCAGCAGUGGGAAAUUUUCUGCAAUGG